rnacentral:rRNA from 1 species
AUUGAACGCUGGCGGCAGGCCUAACACAUGCAAGUCGAAAGAGUGGCGGACGGGUGAGUAAUGUCUGGGAAACUGCCCGAUGGAGGGGGAUAACUACUGGAAACGGUAGCUAAUACCGCAUACCAUCGGAUGUGCCUAGAUGGGAUUAGCUGGUAGGUGGGGUAACGGCUCACCCAGGCGACGAUCUCUAGCGGGUCUGAGAGGAUGACCAGCCACACGGGAACUGAGACACGGUCCAGACUCCUACGGGAGGAAGCAGUGGGGAAUAUUGCGCAAUGGGCGCAAGCCUUAUGCAGCCAUGCCGCGUGUAUGAAGAAGGCCUUCGGGUUGUAAAGUACUUUCAGCGAGGAGGCGUUACUCGCAGAAGAAGCACCGGCUAACUCCGGGCCAGCAGCCGCGGUAAUAC